GGUGAUGGCUCAAUUGGUAAACCACUUGCCUUCCAAGCAUGAGGACUUGAGUUCAAUCCUCAGAACCC
rnacentral:tRNA from 1 species